rfam:Salmo salar isolate Sally breed double haploid chromosome ssa19, whole genome shotgun sequence.
UGCACUCAUCACUGUAAGUCGCUUUGGAAAAAAGCAUCUGCUAAAUGGCAUAUA